AUUGAACGCUGGCGGCAGGCCUAACACAUGCAAGUCGAGCGGAUGAAGGGAGCUUGCUCCUGGAUUCAGCGGCGGACGGGUGAGUAAUGCCUAGGAAUCUGCCUGGUAGUGGGGGAUAACGUCCGGAAACGGGCGCUAAUACCGCAUACGUCCUGAGGGAGAAAGUGGGGGAUCUUCGGACCUCACGCUAUCAGAUGAGCCUAGGUCGGAUUAGCUAGUUGGUGGGGUAAAGGCCUACCAAGGCGACGAUCCGUAACUGGUCUGAGAGGAUGAUCAGUCACACUGGAACUGAGACACGGUCCAGACUCCUACGGGAGGCAGCAGUGGGGAAUAUUGGACAAUGGGCGAAAGCCUGAUCCAGCCAUGCCGCGUGUGUGAAGAAGGUCUUCGGAUUGUAAAGCACUUUAAGUUGGGAGGAAGGGCAGUAGGUUAAUACCUCGCUGUUUUGACGUUACCAACAGAAUAAGCACCGGCUAACUUCGUG
rnacentral:rRNA from 1 species